rnacentral:rRNA from 1 species
CCUACGGGAGGCAGCAGUGGGGAAUAUUGGACAAUGGGCGCAAGCCUGAUCCAGCAAUGCCGCGUGAGUGAUGAAGGCCUUAGGGUCGUAAAGCUCUUUUACCAGGGAUGAUAAUGACAGUACCUGGAGAAUAAGCUCCGGCUAACUCCGUGCCAGCAGCCGCGGUAAUACGGAGGGAGCUAGCGUUGUUCGGAAUUACUGGGCGUAAAGCGUACGUAGGCGGUUAUUCAAGUCAGAGGUGAAAGCCCGGGGCUCAACCCCGGAACGGCCUUUGAAACUAGGUAGCUAGAAUCUUGGAGAGGUCAGUGGAAUUCCGAGUGUAGAGGUGAAAUUCGUAGAUAUUCGGAAGAACACCAGUGGCGAAGGCGACUGACUGGACAAGUAUUGACGCUGAGGUACGAAAGCGUGGGGAGCAAACAGGAUUAGAUACCCUGGUAGUCCACGCCGUAAACGAUGAUAACUAGCUGUUCGGGCACUUGGUGCUUGAGUGGCGCAGCUACGCAUUAAGUUAUUCCGUCCGUCGGGUAGGUACGGUCGUCGAACGAAGUUAAAACGUUAAAACGGUAAAGUUAGUACGGUCGUGAGACGUAGACCGACGGACGACGACGAGGGAAGUAGG